rnacentral:misc_RNA from 1 species
GUGAAUCAUCGAAUUUUUGAACGCAAAUUGCGCUUCCUGGCAUCCCGGGAAGUAUGCCUGUUUGAGGGUCAGUAUUAAUAAAAAAUCGGGUAAGUUACAAAUUGUGACGUGUCCGGAGUUUGGGCUAUCUUAACAUUUUUGGUUAAGAGGGUUAAAGUUGACCUUUUUAGCGCAUGUUUAAACGGACAUAGAUGUUUCGUAUU